rnacentral:rRNA from 1 species
AACAGGAAGCAGCUUGCUGCUUCGCUGACGAGUGGCGGACGGGUGAGUAAUGUCUGGGAAACUGCCUGAUGGAGGGGGAUAACUACUGGAAACGGUAGCUAAUACCGCAUAACGUCGCAAGACCAAAGAGGGGGACCUUAGGGCCUCUUGCCAUCGGAUGUGCCCAGAUGGGAUUAGCUAGUAGGUGGGGUAACGGCUCACCUAGGCGACGAUCCCUAGCUGGUCUGAGAGGAUGACCAGCCACACUGGAACUGAGACACGGUCCAGACUCCUACGGGAGGCAGCAGUGGGGAAUAUUGCACAAUGGGCGCAAGCCUGAUGCAGCCAUGCCGCGUGUAUGAAGAAGGCCUUCGGGUUGUAAAGUACUUUCAGCGGGGAGGAAGGGAGUAAAGUUAAUACCUUUGCUCAUUGACGUUACCCGCAGAAGAAGCACCGGCUAACUCCGUGCCAGCAGCCGCGGUAAUACGGAGGGUGCAAGCGUUAAUCGGAAUUACUGGGCGUAAAGCGCACGCAGGCGGUUUGUUAAGUCAGAUGUGAAAUCCCCGGGCUCAACCUGGGAACUGCAUCUGAUACUGGCAAGCUUGAGUCUCGUAGAGGGGGGUAGAAUUCCAGGUGUAGCGGUGAAAUGCGUAGAGAUCUGGAGGAAUACC